rnacentral:lncRNA from 1 species
GCUAAAGAUAUAAGAGCCCUUCUGAUUACCUCCUCCCUUCCUAGUUGGGGGAAGAAAUGAGGCUAACUAGGAUAAGCUUCUCUCCUUUUGGCUGGGAGGAGGAGACAAGAUCAUCUUCAUUCUUGAGUAUGAGAAAAGAAGGCUGCUGAUUUGAGGUGAAAUCAACAGCCCCUCCUGUUUCAUUCAUGAACAUACAAGGAUCACCCCAUGCUGCAGCGUCAUAUCUGCUACACAAUGACUGGCACCAUUUUUCAUUUCUCUGCAAUCUUCUCAAAGCCUCUGUUAUUGUAAUUCAAGGACUGGAGCCACAUAUCUUUGUAUGCUGGUAUUUCCACCACGUUCCUAGUCCAGUGCCAAACUCACAGGAGCCAUACCAAUAAAUCUUCAAGAAGAGGAUAUCAUGCUAGAGAUUCUUAUGCUAGGAUGUGUUUUACACAUUUUGAUAUGUGAGACCUUCCCCCAAAUAAACCGUCACUUCCUUUUCUAAAUCCUCUCUUCUGUGUAGCCUGUGCACUUGGGUCUGUCUCUCAAGCAUUAUUGAUAUUCACCCCUCCCCCAGCCCUACAGCAUUUCUGUAUAUAUCCAUCUGCAAAUUACGUUCAUCUGUCUUCCCCACCCCCCUAGUCUAAAUGCUCUUUGUGGGUAUAGGUCAUGUCUGCCUACUCUUGUACUGUAGUUUUAUUCAAACCCUAAGUAUGAUGCUGUGCACACAGUAAGCACU